AUUGAACGCUGGCGGCAGGCCUAACACAUGCAAGUCGAACGGUAACAGGAAGCAGCUUGCUGCUUUGCUGACGAGUGGCGGACGGGUGAGUAAUGUCUGGGAAACUGCCCGAUGAGGGGGAUAACUACUGGAAACGGUAGCUAAUACCGCAUAACGUCGCAAGACCAAAGAGGGGGACCUUAGGGCCUCUUGCCAUCGGAUGUGCCCAGAUGGGAUUAGCUAGUAGGUGGGGUAACGGCUCACCUAGGCGACGAUCCCUAGCUGGUCUGAGAGGAUGACCAGCCACACUGGAACUGAGACACGGUCCAGACUCCUACGGGAGGCAGCAGUGGGGAAUAUUGCACAAUGGGCGCAAGCCUGAUGCAGCCAUGCCGCGUGUAUGAAGAAGGCCUUCGGGUUGUAAAGUACUUUCAGCGGGGAGGAAGGGAGUCAAGUUAAUACCUUUGCUCAUUGACGUUACCCGCAGAAGAAGCACCGGCUAACUCCGUG
rnacentral:rRNA from 1 species